rnacentral:rRNA from 1 species
GUGAACGCUGGCGGCGUGCUUAACACAUGCAAGUCGAACGGACUUAAUGAGCUUGCUUAUUAAGUUAGUGGCGCACGGGUGAGUAAUAUAUAGCUAGCCUGCCCUUUAGUGGGGGACAACAGUUGGAAACGACUGCUAAUACCCCAUACUCCUUCUCGUUAUAAAACGAGUCGGGAAAGUUUUUUCGCUAAGAGAUCAGUCUAUGUCCUAUCAGCUAGUUGGUGAGGUAAUGGCUCACCAAGGCUAUGACGGGUAUCUGGUUUGAGAGGAUGAUCAGACACACUGGAACUGAGACACGGUCCAGACUCCUACGGGAGGCAGCAGUGAGGAAUAUUGCACAAUGGAGGAAACUCUGAUGCAGCAACGCCGCGUGGAGGAUGACGCAUUUCGGUGUGUAAACUCCUUUUAAGAGGGAAGAUAAUGACGGUACCUCUUGAAUAAGCACCGGCUAACUCCGU